UACGUAGGGCGCAAGCGUUGUCCGGAAUUAUUGGGCGUAAAGAGCUCGUAGGCGGCUUGUCACGUCGGGUGUGAAAGCCCGGGGCUUAACCCCGGGUCUGCAUUCGAUACGGGCUAGCUAGAGUGCAGAAGGGGCAACCGGAAUUCUUGGUGUAGCGGUGAAAUGCGCAGAUAUCAGGAAGAACACCAAUGGCGAAGGCAGCUCUCUGGGACGGUACUGACGCUGAGACGCGAAAGCGUGGGGAGCGAACAGG
rnacentral:rRNA from 1 species